CAACGAUUUGUUAGGGGAAGAAUCAAUUUCUCAGGCGGUAUUGGUGGUGGACUGGUGAAUGGUACAGGUUUCAAGUUAUCUCGGUAGAUUCAAGGCUUGAGACCUUAUUGGGGAAACAGAACGAUUUUGCCAUCUAAGGUAGAAACGGAAUUACCGUGGAGUGCAGUCUGGAAAAAUGAAAUGAAGAAGAUGAAAGUGACUGGUAACUGCACAGACUUACCAUUAUUAGAAGGGAUUUCCCUUUUGGGGUUAAAGAGUCUUCACCCUGUGAGCCAUAUUUAACUCUUUAAGAAACUAAAGUAUAUAUGAUGACAUGAGGGGAAAUGCAGAGGGGAUAUUUUAUCAUGUCAUUCUGGAUACGAUCUUGGGUGGUUGCGAUUCUGAUUGUGAUCUGAUCUUCAAGG